CUGGUGCUAAUACCGUAUAUCCCCUGAGGGGGAAAGAUUUAUCGCCAUAGGAGGAGCCCGCGUAGGAUUAGCUAGUUGGUGGGGUAACGGCCUACCAAGGCGACGAUCCUUAGCUGGUCUGAGAGGAUGACCAGCCACACUGGGACUGAGACACGGCCCAGACUCCUACGGGAGGCAGCAGUGGGGAAUAUUGGACAAUGGGGGAAACCCUGAUCCAGCCAUGCCGCGUGUGUGAUGAAGGCCUUCGGGUUGUAAAGCACUUUCGCACGUGACGAUGAUGACGGUAACGUGAGAAGAAGCCCCGGCUAACUUCGUGCCAGCAGCCGCGGUAAUACGAAGGGGGCAAGCGUUGUUCGGAAUUACUGGGCGUAAAGGGCGCGUAGGCGGUGCACUAAGUCAGGCGUGAAAGCCCUGGGCUCAACCCGGGAACUGCGCUUGAUACUGGUGCGCUUGAAUCCAGGAGAGGUUGGUGGAAUUCCCAGUGUAGAGGUGAAAUUCGUAGAGAUUGGGAAGAACACCGGUGGC
rnacentral:rRNA from 1 species